UCGGGACGCUUGUCCUGAGAAAAAUGGCGUUCGUCAGCUCCAGUUUGUAUCCAGCCUCUCAUGGAGACUUCAGAUGUCCCAACACCUGCAAUGAGAAGACUAAAUGCCUGUGAAGAGACGACUCAACACCUGUGAAAGAUGACUCGACGCCUGUGGAAAGACGACUCCAUGCUGGCGAUAUGUUAUGCCCUUAAUAUUACAUGAUUAUCUAAAUGUAAUUUUCCAUGUACUUUUCUGUAAUGCACUUUCUGUAAAGCUGCUUUGAAACAAGUAUUGUGAAAGGACUAUACAAACAAACUUGAAUUCACUUGCAGGGCCAACAGACACAGAGCUUACAGCGGGGGAGCUUCACUGCAAAGCAGACAGGUGAGCAUACAGUGGACUGCCAGAUAAAUACACUCAAUGGUCUGUGAAGUACAACAAUGUUAGCCUCUUCUUAUGCAGUCAGAAUGUGAUGGGAAAACUCCGGUAAGAA